GAUGAACGCUAGCGGCAGGCCUAACACAUGCAAGUCGAGGGGUAGAACACUUCGGUGUUUGAGACCGGCGCACGGGUGCGUAACGCGUAUGCAAUCUACCUUGUACAGGGGAAUAGCCCAGAGAAAUUUGGAUUAAUGCCCCAUAGUAUAUAACCUUCGCAUGUUGGUUAUAUUAAAGUUCCAACGGUACAAGAUGAGCAUGCGUCCCAUUAGUUAGUUGGUAAGGUAACGGCUUACCAAGACGAUGAUGGGUAGGGGUCCUGAGAGGGAGAUCCCCCACACGGGUACUGGGACACGGACCAGACUCCUACGGGAGGCAGCAGUGAGGAAUAUUGGUCAAUGGGCGCAAGCCUGAACCAGCCAUGCCGCGUGCAGGAAGACGGUCCUAUGGAUUGUAAACUGCUUUUAUACAGGAAGAAACCCUCCCACGUGUGGGAGAUUGACGGUACUGUAGGAAUAAGGAUCGGCUAACUCCGUGCCAGCAGCCGCGGUAAUAC
rnacentral:rRNA from 1 species